rnacentral:rRNA from 1 species
AUUGAACGCUGGCGGCAGGCCUAACACAUGCAAGUCGAGCGGUAGCACAGGGAGCUUGCUCCUGGGUGACGAGCGGCGGACGGGUGAGUAAUGUCUGGGAAACUGCCUGAUGGAGGGGGAUAAGUGCUGGAAACGGUAGCUCAUACCGCAUAAAGUCACAAAACCAAAGAAGGGGACCUUCGGGCCUCUUGCCAUCAUAGUUGCCAAGAUGGGAUUGGAUAGUAGGUGGGGUAAAGGCUCACAUAGGCGAAGAACCCUAGCUGGGCUGAGAGGAUGAGCAGCCACACUGGAACUGAGACACGGUCCAGACUCCUACGGGAGGCAGCAGUGGGAAUAUUGCACAAUGGGCGCAAGCCUGAUGCAGCCAUGCCGCGUGUAUGGAGAAGGCCUUCGGGUUGUAAAGUACUUUCAGCGGGGAGGAAGUUGUUGAGGUUAAUAACCUCAGCAAUUGACGUUACCCGCAGAAGAAGCACCGGCUAACUCCGUGCCAGCCGCCGCGGUAACAC